rnacentral:rRNA from 1 species
UACGUAGGGGGCAAGCGUUGUCCGGAAUCAUUGGGCGUAAAGCGCGCGUAGGCGGCCCGGCAAGUCAACGGUGAAAGCUUGGGGCUCAACCCCGAGUCGGCCGUCGAUACUUCCGGGCUGGAGCACUGUAGAGGCAGGUGGAAUUCCGGGUGUAGCGGUGGAAUGCGUAGAGAUCCGGAAGAACACCGGUGGCGAAGGCGGCCUGCUGGGCAGUAGCUGACGCUGAGGCGCGACAGCGUGGGGAGCAAACAGG